CCGACUGGGACGCCGUAGUUAAGGCGGCAGGCUGCAAAGUGCUGCGGGAAACCGUGGCGUUAGCUAGCUAGUUCUUCGUUGCGUUGUCGUCAGUUUCAAGAUGAUUCGUGCACGCCCGCGUUUGUUUUUCGUCAGUAAUGAAGGCCUGCGCCAUUAAUAUGGCAGAUACACCGACUGCUGCAGCUAUGUUUCUGCUGUGGAAGUCCUAGAUAUGUUGGGAAAUUAAACUGCGUCACGUCUGGAUUAGUGACCUCAUCUGGUGGAACGAACCAGCCUUCUCAAGUAACGGUAACUUUACCUGUGCGGUUCAGAUUUAGCUGUUUAGUUAUUGCAAUAAACUGAUAAAAACUAAGCUAAAAUACAAACAUUAUGAUGAAGAUUUGUUAAACGUUUGAAUUCAUACUAAAUCAGGUCCUUCCACAAGACAACAACCAAACAACUUUUUAAAAUGUUCGUUCCUUAAAUAGAGUUUAGGGCAAUAGUGGAUUUAUCCAAGUGGUGUGAACCCAAAAUAACUAAUUCCGCCGUUAUUUACUUGUGAAAUGGGUGUAAAGUAAGCCGAAACAGCAACAUCGUGAUACAGAUUAAAAAGAUAAAGUACAGGUCUGUCUGCAAAAUGACAAGCAAACAACUUUUAAUAAUGCUUGUUUUCUGAAUAAAGUUCUAAAAAAGUUGCCAGGGCAUCAUGUUGCCAACAGAAUAUUUUGAUUUUCUUUCUUUUCUUUUUCCUGCAUAUGAUGAACAAUCAUCACUGUUGUUUGUGAAACAUAUGUUAUCAUCUCCUUGCAGGAGAUUGAACCGUUUUUUCCUUUUUUCACUAGCUGCAGUUUCAGGAUGUUGCUGAAGGUGAAAUGCAAUAGUAUCAAGAAGUACAUCAAAUUGCCCUCAGGCUUCACCUAUUCAGAAUUCAUCAGGGAAGGUAAAUCAUUUGAUGGCAAAAUGAAAUAUGUAGCCAAUUUAACAACAAAUCACAGCACAAUAUGAUCUGUGGCAGAACUAUUUAAAUACUUUUGUAUUUAACAUUUUAUAUUACAUUAAUGACAGUUCAUAGUGGAAUCAUCAACAUUAGUUAGAACAUGGUUGUACAUGAUUCUUUUUAGUUUAACAGAGUUAAGCAGGAUGAUUUCAAAUUUGCUCCAGGUGACUUAAUCUGCUUACAUUCCCUCUUUUUUGUCACGGUUUGGGUCUGCUUCUUGUCUUAUUUUGUAGUUUUCAUGUCUCUUGUGUUCCUGGGUAACUUCACUUCCUGCCUUGUCCUGUCUUCCCCUGUGAUUGUCUGCCGUGCCUGAUCGUUUCCACCUGUGUCCAAUCACCUGCACCUCCCUUGUGUAUUUAAGCCUUGUGAGUUCUUCUAGAGCUGUUGGAGGCCAAUCCAGACAUGUGCCUGACAGUAUGUGACAGCAUUUCCAAUGAAGACAUUUCUCCUCUAGAUCAUUCAACACCAUCUUCCCUCACGGACACCAUAUCACUUCCUUCAAGUGACGGUGACCUUAGAGAACUGGGUAUGACCACAGGCAGAAAUAGAUCCAGCAAAGAAAACAUGAGCAGUUCUGCAACAAAGGCUUCCGUGUCAGAGGCGGCAAAGGAGAUUGUAGAAAAUGCCUUGCUUAAGAAGCCUGGAGGAGAGGAUAUUUUUGAGGAGUACAAGUCAGAAAAUUCACUAAUGCACCGCACUCUGAGACAGCUUGUCAACAUAUUGGCGAGUGAUAUGACUGAGAGACAUGGCAGGAUUCCUUCCCGUCAGCAGAAGGAGACGUAUGCUCUGGGAAUUAUUACUCUUUCCUCACUGAAGGAUCCUUUUUCUCCAAAGGGCUAUGAGCAUUUCCAUGAUGGGGAAAGAGGAACUGGAUAUUUAGCGUGGCGCCUCAAAACCAUUUCCAGGACUUGAGCAAAACGGCCAGUCAAAGAAGUCUCAGUGCAUCAAGCACAAGGACCAAAGCGCCAAAGAUCAGCAACCACACUGCCUCAGCAGCUUGAUGGAGAUGCCUGCAGGGAGGCCAUUUCAUUUCUUGUUCACUCCCCUGAUGAAGCAAGUGUAUUUCAGAAGAUGAAGAUGACGUUUCAACAUUGUCAGGACCUAGUGCAUGACCCACAAAGAAGCACCGAUGUCUUCAAAACAUUUCCACGCUUUUUAGAUGUCAACGGACUUGUGAAUCAAGACUUCCUCCUGCUGUUUGGUGGUGUAACAGACUCAAAGAUGCUUGAGAAGUGGGACACCUCAUUCAAGCUCAAGGUCAUCAAAGAGGCCAAACAACUGACUCCGACAACUGAGCUGUGCCGACUUCUAAAAGCUGCUGAGAAACUUGCAGAGAACGAUGAAACGGACUGGGACAGUGACAUCGCUUCCAUGCUGCUUCUUCUCUAUCUCUUCCCACCCACAGCGGGACGGAAGAGGACCAAAAUAAGUCUUGCAGUGGAGAAAAUGGUGCACUUUCAUAAGUCAUGCUGCACCAUCAAUGAAUAUCUGCAGGAAAGGGAGAGUAAACAACCAUACAUCCUUGCCGUUGGCCGAACCCAGAAGGCGAUUGAUACCUUCUACAUCGUCGUUGACAAACAGCUCAUCCUCUGCCAAGCCACCAGCUCGUUGGGUGCUUUUGAUGAACUGUUUAAAUCCCACUACGUGUUCAACUUGUCUUAUGAUGAGUCCCUGGUCCAUUUCUACACUUUUCUGCAGACAACGGUCUACAACAUUGAUGCUACCACAACAGAUGAGUCUCCAAGAGUUUGUGAGUUGCGGGCAAAACUUUUGAAUGACAUAUGAAUAUGUUUAAAUGUUUUGUAUGUCAAGCAGUGCAUGCUACCAGUCAGUGCCUAAUAACUCAUUUGCGAAUCUGCCACAGUUUCUAUCCAAGCACUAGGUUUAAGUUAGUUUGUGCACAAGAUCAUUGUAGGCGUCAGUUUUCAACAUUUUCAGGUUUUAAAAAGCAUUUAAUUAGUGUGCACGAUAAGGAUUGUCAAAGUGGUGAUGCAGAAACCUCAGUCAUUUCAGGCGGAUUUUCACGGAUUUUCUUUGAACCAUAUUGAGUACGGACCUUUGAAAACAUUUAAUGUGGACAAUGAGGAAAGUGGUGAAAUGUUUGCCCAAGCCCUGCCCGCUGUAUCAAAAGACAUCUUCUCUACGAACUGGGUAAAGAUCAGCGGGGUAGAGUACAGAGCCGGGUUAGUCAUUUGCAGUGGUACAGAACAAGAAAUGCCUCUGUUUUGCAGAGUAAAAAACAUACUUUUAGUCAACAGUGUGAUCUACUUCAUAGUGAACAAGCUCAUGGUUGACCAUUUCAGUGAGCACCUUCAUGCCUACAACGUGUUUGAAAGUGACACAAAAUGUGAUGAAAGCAGACAGUCUUGAAAUGUAUAAGCCUUUUGACUUACAAAGUGCUUAUGGUGGAGUUGAUGGCCUUUAUAUUGUACCAUUAUGUUCUCUGUAAGUGUGC